ensembl:rRNA 5S_rRNA 5S ribosomal RNA
GCUUACGGCCAUACCACCCUGAACACGCCCGAUCUCGUCUGAUCUCGGAAGCUAAGCAGGGUCGGGCCUGGUCAGUACUUGGAUGGGAGACCGCCUGGGAAUACCAGGUGUGCUGUAAAGC